rnacentral:rRNA from 1 species
CCUACGGGAGGCUGCAGUGGGGAAUAUUGGACAAUGGGGGGAACCCUGAUCCAGCCAUGCCGCGUGUGUGAAGAAGGCCCUCGGGUUGUAAAGCACUUUCAGUGAGGAAGAACGCCUGGUGGUUAAUACCCAUCAGGAAAGACAUCACUCACAGAAGAAGCACUGGCUAACUCCGUGCCAGCAGCCGCGGUAAUACGGAGGGUGCGAGCGUUAAUCGGAAUUACUGGGCGUAAAGCGCGCGUAGGUGGCUUGAUAAGCCGGUUGUGAAAGCCCCGGGCUCAACCUGGGAACGGCAUCCGGAACUGUCAAGCUAGAGUGCAGGAGAGGAAGGUAGAAUUCCCGGUGUAGCGGUGAAAUGCGUAGAGAUCGGGAGGAAUACCAGUGGCGAAGGCGGCCUUCUGGACUGACACUGACACUGAGGUGCGAAAGCGUGGGUAGCAAACAGGAUUAGAUACCCUGGUAGUC